GUAGUUGACUCGCGGCUCGAGGACACGCUGGCGGCGUGCUUAACACAUGCAAGUCGAACGGAAAGGCCCUUCGGGGUACUCGAGUGGCGAACGGGUGAGUAACACGUGGGUGAUCUGCCCUGCACUUUGGGAUAAGCCUGGGAAACUGGGUCUAAUACCGAAUAGGACCACGCGCUUCAUGGUGUGUGGUGGAAAGCGUUUUGCGGUGUGGGAUGGGCCCGCGGCCUAUCAGCUUGUUGGUCGGGGUAAUGGCCUACCAAGGCGACGACGGGUAGCCGGCCUGAGAGGGUGACCAGCCACACUGGGACUGAGAUACGGCCCAGACUCCUACGGGAGGCAGCAGUGGGGAAUAUUGCACAAUGGGCGCAAGCCUGAUGCAGCGACGCCGCGUGAGGGAUGACGGCCUUCGGGUUGUAAACCUCUUUCAAUAGGGACGAAGCGCAAGUGACGGUACCUAUAGAAGAAGCACCGGCCAACUACGUG
rnacentral:rRNA from 1 species